rnacentral:lncRNA from 1 species
CACCCUUUAACCAUAUUUAUUGGCCAUUGGAAAAAUUAUUCCAAAAAACUUGGCUUAGCUUCAUCAACUAUGGAAGAGUGGAUUAGGAGUGGAUCCUAAUCCAAAGCAAAUACUUGCCAAACAAAAAUGCCAAGAACAUCCAAAGCUUUGCAGAUUGAUGGUGCACUAAACAAGUUUUUGCAAUAAUGGUAGAUGGCCACCUACAUUGGAUGUUAUGUGGGCCCGUUCAGGGAUUUGUAUUCCAACCUGGAUAGCAGCCUUUUACUUCCCGCCCCUUACAGGCCAUGGUUGAAUGAUUACUCUACUAACUUAUAGCUAGAUAGCACUAACUACCACUAACUCUAAGUCUGUCAGUCCCCUCAGGCUACAUACAGUCGACCCAUUGUAAUACAUCUUUUACUUGCAAUGAAAGUCUUUACAUUUGUGUCAAACAACAUAAAUAAGUAAAUAAAUAAAUCCAAAGGAACAGCUCUAUAAUGAAUCCUAAAGGAACAGGAGAAAAAACAGAGGGGAAAUACGUCGAAGGGAUGUCUCUCUCGGAUUCCAAGGAAUAGCUCAAAAGCAGAACUUCGAGUAGCAGCAUCAUAAUAGUCAGAAAAAACUUUGCCUCGGUGCUUAAGGCCACGGCUUGAACAUAUGCAUAAGCAUGGGGAAGGGCGUGCCAAGUGUCGAGGUAUCACUUGCAAGCCAUCCAUUGGCCCUUAUCGCUCUGCCUUGUAUCUCUUUCAUUUCUGGAUGCUACCUUAUCACCAACAUUCAGUGGUUGGGUGCAGGCCUCUCAGGCUGCGCC